UUUUUUGUUUCAUCUCUUAUGCUUUAUUUUCUAAAACAUGAUUCAGUUUCAAUCACGUUAAAUCAUAUAUAUGAAAGUUGACCAACUCUCUCCAUAUGAUUGACACAUCAUCACUAUCAUCACUUUAGCAUUUGCUAAUUGUCCACUGAAUAAUUAAUGUAAACUCUUCAACUUAUAAUUUAUAGAUUAAUGAUGUAUUUAUUAUUUAAUUUUAUAU
rnacentral:sRNA from 1 species